rnacentral:rRNA from 1 species
GACUCUCGGCAACGGAUAUCUCGGCUCACGCAUCGAUGAAGAACGUAGCAAAAUGCGAUACUUGGUGUGAAUUGCAGAAUCCCGUGAACCAUCGAGUUUUUGAACGCAAGUUGCGCCCGAAGCCAUCCGGCUGAGGGCACGUCUGCCUGGGCGUCACGC